UACGUAGGGUGCGAGCGUUGUUCGGAUUCACUGGGCGUAAAGGGUGCGUAGGCGGUCGGGUAAGUCUGAUGUGAAAUCUCCAAGCUCAACUUGGAAAUGGCAUCGGAUACUAUUCGGCUCGAGGAAUGGAGGGGAGACUGGAAUACUUGGUGUAGCAGUGAAAUGCGUAGAUAUCAAGUGGAACACCAGUGGCGAAGGCGAGUCUCUGGACAUUUCCUGACGCUGAGGCACGAAAGCCAGGGGAGCAAACGGG
rnacentral:rRNA from 1 species